rnacentral:lncRNA from 1 species
AUCAUUUAAAUCAGCAAAAUUUAUCAAAAGGCUACUGUUUUUACUGUUUUUGUUUGGGGUUUUUUUUUUUUGCUUUGUUUUACACAGUGUAUUAAGUAAUCUGCAUUGUUGCAAAUGUAACCCAUGGUUAUUUUAUUGACAAUUGUAUUGUAUUUUUAUUCUAAUUUUAAGUGUUACUGUUUUGUUAAGUGCUGAGUUUUCCCAUGUACCGUGAAUGCACCAUAGCGCUGUGCGUGGUGACUUUCUUUCACUGCAUCCGCCUGCACGGAGCUAGAUGCACAAAGCUGUGUGGAGAUUCAGUCCUGUAACGUGUUGCGCUACGGAAUUGUUUUCUUUGAAGAAUAUCCUGGCUGGUUUUUUUGUGGUAGAAAUCUGCUGCAAGGACCGAGUGGUGCCAUCUAAGGACUGGAUGCCACUGGAGGUGCCUAGAAAGGACAUUCUCAAUCUGAAGGCCACCUGUUUCCUUGGAGGGUGUUAUCACCUGCGGCUGAAGGAAUCAAAUGAAGUUAUUGGAAAAUGA